GAAAUGCGAUAAGUAGUGUGAAUUGCAGAAUUCAGUGAAUCAUCGAAUCUUUGAACGCACAUUGCGCCCUUUGGUAUUCCUUAGGGCAUGCCUGUUCGAGCGUCAUCUAAAUCUUCAAGCCCUGCUUGGUGUUGGGUGCCUGUCCCGCCUCCGCGCGCGGACUCACCUCAAAUCCAUUGGCGGCCCCCGCGUCGGCCACGAGCGCAGCAGAAACGCGAACUCGUGAGCCCGUCCGGGCGGCUCCCAGAAGCUACACCCACCCAGUUUGACCUCGGAUCAGGUAGGGAUACCCGCUGAACUUAAGC
rnacentral:misc_RNA from 1 species